rnacentral:rRNA from 1 species
GACGUAGGGAGCAAGCGUUGUUCGGAUUUACUGGGCGUAAAGGGCGCGUAGGCGGCGCGGUAAGUCACUUGUGAAAUCUCUGAGCUUAACUCAGAACGGCCAAGUGAUACUGCAGUGCUAGAGUGCAGAAAGGGCAAUCGGAAUUCUUGGUGUAGCGGUGAAAUGCGUAGAUAUCAAGAGGAACACCUGAGGCGAAGGCGGGUUGCUAGGCUGACACUGACGCUGAGUGCGCGAAAGCCAGGGGAGCAAACGGG